UGCGUAGGCGGUCCCGCAAGUCCGCUGUGAAAGCCCCGGGCUUAACCUGGGAAUGGCAGUGGAAACUAGGGGACUUGAAUCCGGCAGAGGGGGGUGGAAUGCCACGUGUAGCAGUGAAAUGCGUAGAGAUGUGGCGGAACACCGAUGGCGAAGGCAGCCCCCUGGGUUGAGAUUGACGCUCAGGCACGAAAGCGUGGGGAGCAAACAGGAUUAGAUACCCUGGUAGUCCACGCCCUAAACGAUGAUCACUAGGUGUUGGGGAAGCGAUUUCUCAGUACCGCAGCUAACGCGUGAAGUGAUCCGCCUGGGGAUACGGUCGCAAGGUUGAA
rnacentral:rRNA from 1 species